AAACUGCGAAUGGCUCAUUAAAUCAGUUAUCGUUUAUUUGAUCGUACCUUACUACUUGGAUAACCGUGGUAAUUCUAGAGCUAAUACAUGCUGAAAAGCCCGACUUCGGAAGGGUUGUAUUUAUUAGAUAAAAAACCAAUGCCCUUCGGGGCUCUUUGGUGAUUCAUAAUAACUUCUCAGAUCGCACGGCCUUGCGCCGGCGACGGUUCAUUCAAAUUUCUGCCCUAUCAACUUUCGAUGGUACGGUAUUGGCCUACCAUGGUUUCAACGGGUAACAGGGAAUUAGGGUUCGAUUCUGGAGAGCGAGCCUGAGAGACGGCUAGCACAUCCAAGGAAGGCAGCAGGCGCGCAAAUUACUCAAUGCCGACACGGCGAAGUAGUGACAAUAAAUACUGAUACAGGGCUCUUUUGGGUCUUGUAAUUGGAAUGAGUACAAUUUAAACCUCUUAACGAGGAACAAUUGGAGGGCAAGUCUGGUGGAUGUUUAGAUCCUAUCUGCUGACGCCAGCAAUAGCCGGGCAUUUCUCAGCGAGAGUGCAAAGCCGGCUGGUCGAGUGCCUGUCAAUUGAUGGGAAGGUACCGGCGAGACAACCUGGAUCGGGAGAGGCUAAGGCGCAGACGCGCUAUGCUGACCCCGAGCAGAGCUUCUGUGGAGCGAUCCGCGGAUGGCCUGUGUAGAGCGCGCAAAGGUGUCGGUCAGCUCAUGUAGUUGGCUUAAGGGACGUGCCAUUCCCGCCUGAAAGGGUGGUUGCCAGCCUGAGCGCCCAUCACGCAAGGGCUGGCAGUUUUGAACACCUGAAGCCCGCACAAGGGCCUUCACGAGGGUGUGAAAAUGGGGUUUGCAAGGCCAGCAGCCGCGGUAAUUCCAGCUCCAAUAGCGUAUAUUAAAGUUGUUGCAGUUAAAAAGCUCGUAGUUGAACCUUUGGCCUGGCUGGCAGGUCCGCCUCACCGCGUGCACUUGACCGGCCGGGCCUUCUUCUCUGGAGAACCGCAUGCCCUUCACUGUGGUGUGCUGGGGACCAGGACUUUUACUUUGAAAAAAUUAGAGUGUUCAAAGCAGGCCUUUGCUCGAAUACGUUAGCAUGGAAUAAUAAAAUAGGACGGCAGUUCUAUUUUGUUGGUUUCUAGGACCGCCGUAAUGAUUAAUAGGGACAGUCGGGGGCGUCAGUAUUCAAUUGUCAGAGGUGAAAUUCUUGGAUCAAUUGAAGACUAACUACUGCGAAAGCAUUCGCCAAGGAUGUUUUCAUUAAUCAGUGAACGAAAGUUAGGGGAUCGAAGACGAUCAGAUACCGUCGUAGUCUUAACCAUAAACUAUGCCGACUAGGGAUCGGGCGUGUUCUUAUUUUGACUCGCUCGGCACCUUACGAGAAAUCAAAGUGUU
rnacentral:rRNA from 1 species